GUGGGGAAUAUUGCACAAUGGGCGAAAGCCUGAUGCAGCGACGCCGCGUGAAGGAUGAAGUAUUUCGGUAUGUAAACUUCUAUCAGCAGGGAAGAAAAUGACGGUACCUGACUAAGAAGCCCCGGCUAACUACGUGCCAGCAGCCGCGGUAAUACGUAGGGGGCAAGCGUUAUCCGGAUUUACUGGGUGUAAAGGGAGCGUAGACGGCUGUGCAAGUCUGAAGUGAAAGGCAUGGGCUCAACCUGUGGACUGCUUUGGAAACUGUGCAGCUAGAGUGUCGAAGAGGUAAGUGGAAUUCCUAGUGUAGCGGUGAAAUGCGUAGAUAUUAGGAGGAACACCAGUGGCGAAGGCGGCUUACUGGACGAUGACUGACGUUGAGGCUCGAAAGCGUGGGGAGCAAACAGGAUUAGAUACCCUAGUAGUCC
rnacentral:rRNA from 1 species